GCAACGGAUAUCUCGGCUCUCGCAUCGAUGAAGAACGCAGCAAAAUGCGAUACUUGGUGUGAAUUGCAGAAUCCCGUGAAUCAUCGAGUUUUUGAACGCAAGUUGCGCCCGAAGCCUUUCGGCCGAGGGCACGCCUGCCUGGGUGUCA
rnacentral:rRNA from 1 species